rnacentral:rRNA from 1 species
GUGAGGAAUAUUGGACAAUGGAUGGAAAUCUGAUCCAGCCAUGCCGCGUGCAGGAAGACGGCCCUAUGGGUUGUAAACUGCUUUUAUACGGGAGCAAUAAGGUCUAUGCAUAGAUUGAUGAGAGUACCGUAUGAAUAAGCAUCGGCUAACUCCGUGCCAGCAGCCGCGGUAAUACGGAGGAUGCGAGCGUUAUCCGGAUUUAUUGGGUUUAAAGGGUGCGUAGGCGGGUUUGUAAGUCAGCGGUGAAAUUUUGCGGCUUAACUGUAGAAGCGUCGUUGAUACUGUGAAGCUAGGAUUUGGUUGCUGUGAGCAGAAUGUGUGGUGUAGCGGUGAAAUGCAUAGAGAUCACACAGAAUAUCGAUUGCGAAGGCAGCUCACAAAGCCAAUAUUGACGCUGAGGCACGAAAGUGUGGGGAUCAAACAGGAUUAGAAACCCUAGUAGUCC